rnacentral:lncRNA from 1 species
AAUAAGAAGCACGACACCAACCCAAAAACUCUUAUAUAAUCAACUCUGUAAAUACUCUCUGUUAGUUAAUUCGUGAAUUAUUCGCGAAUUAUUAAAAAUCCGAAUACAACAGACCGUAUGUGAAUUUUUUUCAAAAAAAAAAAAUAAAACGUGAAUUUUUUGGGCUAGCCAAAUUAUUCAUGAAUUAUUCACGAAUUUAGUAGCAUAAAUUUAGAAAAAAAAAAGUUUAAUUUAAUAGUCGAAUUUUUUAUUACGAACUUCUAAUUGAUGAACAUAUAAUAUACAUAUAAAUCGCGUAUCCGAAUAAUUGAUGAAUCUGUUUUUUAAGCUAUAUUUUUUAACGAAUUUAUUAAUUAGGAUACGAAUUUUAGUUGUAUUAUAUUCGUACUGAAUUUUUACUGAAUCCGAAUUAACUAACUAUAUAAAUACUAUGUGCAUAAAAUAUUACGCAGAUCAGUCCUCAGUCUCCUCCAAAAAUCACCCUCUCUCUCUCUCUCUCUCUCAGUAGAAAAGAAAAGAAAUGAAAAAAAAAAAAAGAGAGAGAGAAAGCACCUCAGCCAACCUAUACAUAUAAUUUCAGCCAAAUACCCACUUUCGGAUGCCCGAAAUUCAAUUCGUGAGUCUAAAAUCUUGUCUCUUUCACAUCACUCACCAAUUCAUUUUCGAGCUCAGAUUC